UGCGCAGCAGUGGGGAAUAUUGCGCAAUGGGGGCAACCCUGACGCAGCCAUGCCGCGUGUGUGAAGAAGGCCUUCGGGUUGUAAAGCACUUUCAAUGGGGAAGAAAAGCGUAGCGUUAAUAGCGUUGCGCCGUGACGUUACCCAUAGAAGAAGCACCGGCUAACUCCGUGCCAGCAGCCGCGGUAAUACGGAGGGUGCGAGCGUUAAUCGGAAUUACUGGGCGUAAAGCGCGCGUAGGCGGUUUGUUAAGUCAGCUGUGAAAGCCCCGGGCUUAACCUGGGAACUGCAGUUGAUACUGGCCGACUAGAGUACGAGAGAGGGAGGUAGAAUUCCAUGUGUAGCGGUGAAAUGCGUAGAUAUAUGGAGGAAUACCGGCGGCGAAGGCGGCCUCCUGGCUCGAUACUGACGCUGAGGUGCGAAAGCGUGGGGAUCAAACAGGAUUAGAUACCCCGGU
rnacentral:rRNA from 1 species